rnacentral:ncRNA from 2 species
UAGGCGACGCGGAACUGACGGAUAUAAGUGGAACUAACCACGUGGACCGCGCUGCUGUAAGAUUAGCCGGCCGUCUGGGCAGAGAGA